CCGUGACCUCCCCCCGGCCGGGGGAGCCGUGGCCCACCGCUCUGUGCCCUCCUGGGGGCCGCCCCGCACCCACAGCCCGCUGAGCUGGGAGGGGAGCAGAGGGUUUGGGAUUUUUUUUUCCUAUCUGUGUGGAUUAUUAUUGUUAUUAUUUGUGGGCUGACAGGGGUUAUUCCACCUUCUUCCUCCUUUCUCCCUGCUCUGCCCCCCAUUUUGCAUAACUCUCCUGCUGUCCCUUCCUCCCUGCACUUUGCCCUUGCCUGGUGGUCUGUAGCAUGAUGGAGUAAAAUUGCAAGGGACUCUUCUUUUUUCUUGUUUGUGUAGUGAGAGAGCUGUAUCACAGACAAGCAGACUGCCUAAUGUUAUAUAUUCUUAUAUACCUAUAUCCUUUUCUUUUUUCCCCACAGUGCUGGAGUGGGGUUCUGUGCUUUACAUGCCCCAGGGCAUGGCUCAAUCUAGCAAACCCUGGAGUGAAGCUGCUUUCAGCGUGUGGAGACUGAGUGCCACCGACAGCCUGUUGUCUGUUCGUGCUCAGAGAGUUAUGUGGAAGGAUAGGAGUGACUCAGUAAUAGGAAGUAUUAGUUGCACUGAGGCAAAACCAGGUGAAGUUAUUACUUGGUUACUCUGUUACCUUGGGUCAUUGUUUUGCAUCAGUCCACUGUUUGCUUAUGAAUCAGAAAUAGUAGUGCUUUCCAAAAACAUACUGUGAAUAAACACUAAUGAGCUCAAAAUGCUUAUCAGCUGUAGUAAUAACAGGUAGAUGUGUUGUUUCUCUAUAGUGGCAUAGACAGUGCAGCCAGGAUUGUUUUGCUUGCAAGCUCUUCCUGUGGCAGUAACUUUGCACAGAAGUAGACUUUUGCUUCAAAAGACAUUUUAUAACUCAUGAUACUGUGUGAUAUGCAAUGUUAGAAUCAUAGAAUCAUGGAAUGACUUAGGUUGGAAGGGACUUUAAGGGUUAUUGAAUUUCAACCCCCUCCUGCGGGCUGUGUUAAGUCAUAUUUCGUAUUUUUAUGCAGAAAGUUCUCUAAUACGCUUUUAAAUAACCGCCAUUCCACAGUGCAAAUAGUUUGGGGUUUUUUCUCCUGUGUUCUUAAAACAGCACCAGUACUGCUAAGGAAGCAGUGUCUGGUUGUCUCUGGGCGAGGUGAUAGACUGAGGCUUUUGAUAUGGAGUUGGAAGAGAGAAGUUCCAGUAUAUCUGCUCACAUCUUGGCGUGAUCAAGAAAUUACUUGGAACUGGUUUGUAACUCACUGUGCCACCACACAGCUAUACUUGCCAGGGUUGAGUAGUAGUGUUUACGAGGUGCUGUCUGGAGAUGCCUCUGUAUUUGCAAGAAAAUACUGAAGCAGGUGACAGUAAGUUCAUUACAACGAGCUGAGCAGUUUAGGAAACAGCAUUUUUAUUCUCACAUUAUAAGGUGAUCUACAUAGAAAAUCAAAUGCCUUAAGUAUGCCACUGGCAAGCACUUCAAUAGAGGAAUCUGAAAACUCCAUAGGAGUUGCCCGGAGUGGUUUGUGCCGCUCUCAAGAGCAGUGCUGCCACCACCAUAGCAGAAAGAUACACCACAAAGAAGCACCAACUGCCUGGUAUCUUUAAGCUUUGCUUCUGAGAGUAUUUUGUUCUGUAGUUUAUCACUUGCCUGCUCAAGUUUGUUUGGAACUUCCAUACUGCUAAAUAGGACAACUGUUCUGUGUGAGGAGGAGGUGAGCACAACAGAAGACUUUUGUCUUCGGUUUUAACAACAAAACUGAAAGUUGCUCUGGCAAAAUGGCAAUUCAUUGUUAAUUCAUGAGAUGUAGGUGCUCUGGAAAAAUCAAAUACCAGUUUCAUAGCUACCCUUAGGCAUCUCUAAUUUAUGCAAGCAGGGCUUGCCAAGUAACUACUGAGUCUCACUGACCUUAGUAGGUUUGCAGAGGUCAUAUUUUAACACAGAUAAGUUAUGCUUGAACUAUUUUCUCAGUAGGUAUUAGGAGCAAGUGGCAAAAAAACAUGCUUUUUGCCAAUCCUCCGUUACAUUUUCUGUUUUUCUUUAGAUUCUUGCUUGUAAGUUCUACAGUAAAUCCUAGAGUCUUUUUUUGUGUUUUUUCUUAAUCUGUUAUCUUAAGUAAGAAACGUGAGUUUUUGAGGACAGCUUCUUUUUUGGGGUCUCAGUAAAACAGAACAAACAAAGGUUUCAUAGACCGCCAGAAAGGCAGUUGUAGGAUCAGGGAAAGUCGGGGUAUGGGAAGCCAGAACAGCCCAAACGUGUGAGUGACAUCAGCAUUUUUCUGAGCCGUUUAUGCUGCUCACUUCUGUCGGUUCCCAGCAGUGCCUGUGUCUUAUGUAAGCUCGCACUGUACAUCCUGUCCUGCUGUUCUCAUGCAUGAAAAUCAUUGGUGUUAUCUUACUGUACGUUUUGAGAGCUGAGCAGUUACUGGCUACUUGUUGUCUCAAAUGUCUGCAUGCAAAUCUCUCACAAGCAUGCUGGAGAGAGCUAUGCCAAGAGCAUGGUGCUGUCCUCCUAGGAGACAUCAGAGGGGUAAGUUGUAGUAAACGCCGCUCGCUCGUCCUUUGCUCUUUCUGGUAAUAGGCACUAUGAAGUAAUGCAGCUACAGAGGUAAUUGUGCUGCUACAGUCUGAAGUGCUGAUCUGUGUCACGUGCAGAUGGACCACUAAUGCAGUUUCGAUGGCUGGUGAUAAAACAGACAUGGAAAACAAAGGACAGUGGUUUCAACAGAAGCUUUAAUGAUGUUAGGACUGGAAAAGAGAGGCUUUUAUAUACUCUUACUGUGCACUGCUUGUUACGGGUCUUGGAAAGAAACUGUGCCUUCAGAUGGACUGAUGCUUUACCCUUGUUCCUGUAGUUAGCAUUUAGUGAUGCAUAAUGAAGGUACUGUCACUCAAUGGGUGAAAUUGGAGCAAACCUUCCAUUACAAGGCUUCAGAAACAAACAUUCCCUCUAUUUUUUUUUUCUUGCUAAAUCUAUCUGAAAUCGUCAGGCAUAAAAUCCUGCAAGUAAUGUGAUAUCUGUUAAUGCAAAGUAAGUAACUUGGCCACCUUGUUUAAACGCUACCCAGUGCUUCAGUUACGAAGCAAAACUACCUCUGCUUCUUAAAUACUCUUGUCUCUUCUGUUUGUGCUCCUGCAGUAUGAAGGAGACAAGUUUCUGCUCCUCUGCUCUGGUGAAUGCGCUUGUGUGGCACUGUGGCUUGUUUUGGGGGAGCUGUGUUUGAAGGGCUGUAGAGUUUGUUACAAGCUCUGAUAGGAAAGGCUGACUGGCAGGAGAAGUGCACCUGGGUAGGAGUGCGUUUGUGGAAAGGCCUUGGAAGGAAUGAAAGAAUCUUUCUUGUGGCUUCCCAGUGUGAUCCGUUCCAUGCCGCACGAAACAAUUCCUCAUUGUGCUGGAGUGUAAGACUUAACAAGGAAACUGGCCAUCUGAAGAGGAACAGGUGCAAUGCCCUGACGCUUAGAAGCUAACCAGAUUCCUGAGUGAGCAGAUCUUGCAGAAUUUAAGGAAACUUAUUGGCAGAACAUCUAAGAAGGACUUGAAUUUUUGUUUUGAGUAGGGAAUUGAAUGAUCUCUGCUGCCUUUCACACAAAUCUAGGAAUGCAGUGGCUCUAUUUAGUGCUUUUGUUAUUUUCUUGAAGAUAUAGAAAUAUGUUUCAAAAGCAUAUGCAGGAAGAUGGAGUUGCAGCAGCCAUAAGAACUUGUAAGAAAGCACCUGCACGUUGUGCAUUUGGGAUUCCGUGGCAUUAUAUUUUAUUGCUUUACGGAUGCUUACGUGACUAUCAGAAUCCACAUCUAUGUUGUCCAUAUUCAAUAGCCUUUUCAUUUUGUUGAUGUGGACAGAAUCUAUUCAGGAUGCUUAAAUCUGCUAAAAUAUUUAUAAGAAAGUUGGCCCUUGGAGCAUGUUUCCCACAGGAUGCAGUGGGUGUCGGGGCUAAAGGUCAGUGCAGACGAAGUAAAGUGAAAGCUCUUUUGCAUUUAUUUUCCUACUUUUUUUUCUUAAUUUUCUUUUGAAAGAGAAUUCUCUGUGUUAAGAAGCACAGAACUUUCCUUUGCUACUUCCUACGUUUCCAUACACUAAGAAGCAGGAAUGGACCUGUAAAUACUUAAGCCUUUUAUUGAAACUUUGCUCCCUUUCUUUAGGAGAGCGGGGAAAAAAAAUGAAACCAACAACCCCAAAUCAGUGCAGUUAAUGUAGUCAUGGGCUCUGAGCAUGGAAGUUCCCGGUGUAAAGGAAAAAAGCCAGAUGGAGUUUUAAGUGACUGUCAUGUACCACUUAAGAAACGCACAUUCCUGAUACUAAUAAAAGGGCCAGAUUGGAGCUACAUAAUUAAUCCCAGUGUCCUUUUCAGCACAUGAUAAGAUUUGGCUACAGCAGUCAUAGAGCUAAUGGAGACAACUGUCAGGUUCUACAAAGCAGUGGAUUGUUUGCCUAAAAUAAAAAUACCUAUGUGAUUAUUCUUGUACAUAUAUUUGUAUCUGCUGGUGAUUAGUACUUAUGUCCCAGUUCAAAUGGAAGAUAAAUGGAGCUGAUUUGCUUUUGAAUCCCCUUACUGCCUUAAGUAUCUGUAUAAAUAUAUACACCAGAUAUGUCUGUAAAUAAAUUAUUCCUAUUCAAUAUAUAUUUAAGAUGGGAAGUAAAUGUUUUUUAUUAUUUUCUUUAGGAGUUAGGUGGCAAAACUUGCUCUCCUUUGGAGUCCAUUUGAAAUAUAGUGACUGAUGAAGGCCAAGGAGCAAUUCUGCAAUUGUUUAUUCACUGUAUGUGUCCAUGACCUGGAAGAAGCGUGCAGGAAUGGGCUAAAGCAGAGAUGCUUCUGAGAUGGCACAAAGUGUGUGUUGGAGGCAGACAGGAGGAGUGGGCAGAUGGCAGUCAGAACAAAACAGGUGAAUAAUCAAAUUGGGAACAAGCUGAGUAGACUGUGCAAGCACGUGUGGUGUGCAAUUUUGGUUUAGUUACUGUGAUAGGGAUUUAGUUACUUUAUGAUCUUUGCAAAAGAACGGUAAAAAAUCAUGAGCUUGCCCAUAUGUAAUGGUAGAAGUAUGCCUGCUGUUGUGUGAGGUUCCUUCUGGGAGGAACAGAACAGUCAGAGCCUUUGGGAAUGAGAGAACUUAAGGAAAAACAAAACAAAAAACCAAAAACCACUUUUUCAGUGUUCGAAACCUCACCUGCAAGUUUAUUUGGAUUGCUUUGGUAUUAAUGCUCUAAAACUAUACUGCCUGGAUACUACAGGUAUUCUGUGUCAUGAGAGAUGUUGCUGAAACAAGCUAGAGAUAGCAAGAUGUGUUUGUGAUACUUCAGCUAGAUAAAAGAAGUUCUGUAACUGGUUUGAAAACUUUCUAGACUAGACAGCUGCCCAUUGAGUAGCUCUGUGAUCUCUUCCAGGUUGUAGCUUGAGGGCAGUACUGGAGUGCUAAAGAAAAAAGGGAUUGUAGUGAUGAGUGAUCGAUCCCUUAACCCUUAGCACUGUGCUAGGUGUUAUACUGAAAAGAAACCCACAGGUAGAAAUGCUGUCUGCUCUCACUUUGCUUAAGAAAAUUUAGGAUAUCAUUUUGCUGCAAUAAUAACAAAGGCUAUAAUCUGUACAUAAUCUAUUGAGGUACUGUUGGUGAGCCUAGCAGUAACUUGUCAAAUCAAUCUUUCCUUCUGUCUAUCUGUCUCAAAAUAUUCUUGCUUUGUUUCUUUUUUUAGGGAGUUCAAUAACUUGGGACAGCACUGAGCUGCUCUAUCUGGAGAACACCCUUCUAACCAUAAAGGGGAGCUGCUCUGUCUAAGGUAGUACUUAAUAAGCAGAAGUACAACCUUUCUUAUAGUUAAAAAUUUAUUUGGUACGCGUGAACUCGCUAUGCUUGAAAUUACUCUUCCAUAAUAUCAGUAUCCUUGUGUACUGUCAGUUUAAGAUGCCUCAGUCUGAGUGACACUGGUGAAGAGUUCUACUGCAUGAGGAGGUUGAGGGAAUUAAAGCUAUAUUUCUGCAGAACUGAAGGUUAGAAAGAUAAAGGAAGAAAGAUUAACAUAUUCACAAGGAGUGCCCUAGAUAAGAUUGCUUCCUGUCUGAGGACAUACCGAAUCCUGUGGGAAUGAGGCAGCUAUACUACUAAAACACACUUCAAUUCUGAUGUUUCAUACUGAAUCAUUGCUAUGUUAUAAGUGGUAUUAAUGGAAUUUAUAAAGAUGUUAGCAUUUAUAUAAAGAAUAUAGAAAUAAGUUCACCCAAAACAUCCUUUUGCUAUGUAAGAGCUGUGUGGAGAAUGAACAAACACUUGAGGGUUAACAUGAGUAUAAUAAAUCAGAAUGCCACAUGAACCUCAGAGGACUUCCUUCAUCUAUUCACUUCAUUGUUUCCUCUGCUGAUACAGCACAGCUCAGCCAAAUGCAGGGUCAUUAUUGUUCUGAUGUUCAAAGUGUUUCUAAAUGUUCUUGAAGAUGGAACUCUUCUCUUUGCGUUGUCUUACACUGUUUAGUUUAUUAAUUGUUCAGUGUAUCACACUGAGCAUUUUUUUAAGCAGAAGUCAUGGUGUAAGUCCACAGGUUGGAGUAAUUGGUGAGGUGCAUUGUGAGCUGUUGAUAACCUACAGGAAAGGCUCAAAUUUAUACCUUCAGGAAACUGCUGUUUCCCAAAGCUGAUGCUUGGCAACAGAAGAUGCCCUGUUGACCCUCUGCAGCUUGGCAGAAAGCGCUCCUGAGUAUGUGAGCUUCCAAAGCUUAUAUCCCAGGGUACAGACUGCUCAGGGCUGCUGGCUGGCACAGUGCAUUCCCAUCAGCGUAAAAUGGAGGUCACAGUUCAGUAAAGUAUAAUCUGGAAAAAGACUGUAAAAGUAGAACAGAUUAAAAACUCAGUUUUGGCAUUUAAGCGAGUGAUGACCUGUCUAGAUAUUUAGCUGCUGUUACUUGGGAUUUCUAAGAUGUAGCUCAGCUGUUGGACCUGGAGAGGCAGUGUUUACAGCAGUAGUCUCACGUCAGCUUUAGCUUUGAUUACCUUUUGGUUAAGUGUAUCAAGUUAAGAUUGCUGUGAAUUCUGUCAUAUUUUCUUUUCUGUGUUCUUCUUGUCUUGUACUUAUUCUGUGGUCACAAAAGCUGCUUGUUGUUCAUGGCUUUUCCUGGAGAUGGCUGUUGCUUUUUCUUUCUAUCCAUAUUUACUUUGCUGAAUGGUCCAUAUUUAACACGCAUCAUUGCUUUGAACAUAUUCUUACAGCGUGCUUAUCUACACUAGUGUAAUGUGUUCUGCUAACCUCAUGUUUCCAGAUAUUUAUAUAAACCGCAUAUGAUAUAAUUAUUAGCACUGCUGCUUAAACUUGAUAAUAACUGAUCUGAUCAUUUAUAAACUGCUUGCAAAUAUAUUUUUCUCAUUGUUUUCCCUUAAUUUACUGCUUUUGGAGGUUUGGUUAAAUAAUUAUUUUGGAGAUUUCACAGAAUCGUAGAAUGGCUGGGGUUGGAAGGGACCUCAGGGAUCAUGAAGCUCCAACCCCCUGCUGCAGGCAGGGCUGCCAACCUCCUUAUCUUAUACUAGACCAGGCUGCCCUGGGCCCCAUCCAACCUGGCUUUGAACACCUCCAGGGAUGGUGCAUCCACAACCUCUGUGGGCAGAUUUAACUUGUAAAACUUCUUAUUUCAGUAUUAAUACUGCAUUCACUUCUACAAACAUAACUAAACAUUUUUUUCCAUCAAAUUAGGUUAAGAGAAGAAACUUUAUAGUGAACUCAUUUCCAGUACUAGUUUUGGAGUAUAAAUUUUCCCAACACAGUGGCUUCCAGACUUUGUUUUCUUAGGUCCUUUUGUCUUAGCUCCCAGAUUUCUCUGUAGGUUAAGGACACCAUCCUUUUAAUACAGCACUUUGCUGAGGAGAACUAAGCUGUCUGCUGGUGGAUCAGGCACAUUGGGUGCAUUCAGGUUACGGGAACACUGGGAGCGUUCUGGUAUUCAGGAAGGCAGUUCUGCAACCUGUCCCGUGUUUGUUCUGUGUCAAGGGAGCAGUACUUUAAGGAAAUAACAAGGGAAGCUAAGGUGACUCCUAGAGCUUCAUGAAGGCUGGUCUGCUGUAUGUGUAGAGUUCCUAGUAGAACAGACAACUGAACAGCUUGUGAAGUUCAGUGCUUGAAUCAGCUGUGAGAUAGGACAGAUUCCUUCAACCAGGUUAUUUGUGAUAUGAGAAUACCAGCAUCCCCAUAUGACCAAACCUCUGCUGCUGUUCUUAAAUACCGUUAAUCGUUAAUUAAACUGCACCAGGAGAGUGUUUUCAUAAGUCAGCUACAUACAAAGAAAAGGUCAGUAGUAGUUUUAUGUCCGUCUGUUGGUGCGUUAUAAAUGUACUAUUGUAGAAGUCUACUUAAUAGUGCAGGUAGUUCAUAGUAUGCUGAUAACACAAACUAUCUGUCAGUUUCAAUCACUUUCUUAACCCACUGUAACAGCAGAAUUUAUUUUACCUGUCUCGGUAAUGUUUGUGCAGUUAGGAGUUCCAGAUCACUGGAGACUGACGUACUGUGACAUACAGUUUAUUGUCUUUUGUCUUUUAAGCUGUAUGUAGCGAAUGGAACUCAUUUGAGGAAUCCUACUUUUAAAUAGUAGAGUAUCAGGUUGGGUGUGGAAGGACUAAAUGUGAGAUUGUUUUCAUACGGAAAAUAUGUUUGAUGGUAAAUACCACCAACUAAUGCUAAUUUUCUUGCACUUAAUUGGAGCAUAAGGUAGUUGACUGUGGGUCUGUGGAAAGACAAUGAGUUUUGGUCUGUUACUGAUACCAAAGUAUAUAUUAUACAAUGACUAGAAUUUGGUAUUUGCAGUCUUUCCUUAAGUGCACCUUCAUAGGUCCCACUGUGCAACUGAACUUCUGCUUCGCUAUUUCUGCAGAACAUGUGUUGUAGAAGUGAUAGGGUUAAUGCUCAUUAUUCUGGUGCUGGUUACAUUUGAGUUCUUCUAGUUGAGAGGCAGAUCACAAACUACAGGUGAAACUGACCUUCUAAAACUGAUUUUUCAGGAAUAGUUUCUUGAUGCUUUUACUGCUUCUCUGUUGAGUUAAUAUGGUUCCCACAGGUUGCUGCUUGAGGUGCAGCAGUUCUGUAAAACCAAGUGGGAAUUUGUAGCUGGCCACUAAAAAUGAAGAGUAAAAGCAGUGGGCCUGUAUGAACUGAGCAUGGCAAGAGUCCUAUAAGAAGGGUUUUUUUGUUUUUCUUGUGGGCAUGUUAUUGUUGUUCAUAUGUAAAUAUGUGGAAGUGGGUUGGUAUGGUUAAAGCUAUUUCUCUUAAUUUGUCUUCUUAGUUUUGUGGUUCAUUUGUGUUGGAGAGAGUCCUUUUUAAUGACAUUUUUGUUCUCUAGCAAAGUGCACUUUAAAUCUAGAUAAAACCUAAUGUAUCAUGUAGAAUGUGGAGACUUAAUGAUGUUUCUCUGUGGGAGCUCCUCUUUGGGUUUGGCUUGAAUCUUGUGGGCAGACUUUACCACAGACCUGUACCCUUCACCUAAUGAAGUAAUUAUUGUUUGUCUGUUAAUAACCAGCCACCUUGGUUAGUGGAUUUUGCAAAUACUUUUUAGGAAUUCCAUUGUUCAGAAAUCUGUUGCACUGCCAAGUUCUCCGUCUUAGGUGCUAUAGAUGCUUUGGAAAACAAAAAUGUUUGUUUGGUUUUGCAUUGUUUUGGCUUGCCUUUUGCCUCUCCUUAAGGUCAGAAUGCUGUCAGGACUGAUCUGUACUAUCUGUGUACCAGCAGGUGGAGCAUUGGUAGCAUAAGAUGGGUUUCUGUCACUUAGUUCAGGUGUUUGGGAGGAAGAUAGUUCCUUCAGCGUUUUAGAACAUUGUGACCUCUGUGGAGGUGGAAGCUGCUGACUCUGUUUGGUGUUAACAUGGCACAUUAACAAAAAAUGUUGAAGGACAAUUUUCAGACUUGCAGGUGAGGUGAACUUGGCUGUAGAGAGCAAAAGGCAGCUUGGUGUUUCUCUGCUUUUUUCAAAUGCCAGUUACCUGCUGUGAGGCGUGGAAGUAUUGAAGCUACAUCUAAAUGACUGUGAAGCUUUUAAGGGAGCAGAAUUUUGCCAAGUUUGUGGGGGUUUUGUUUGUUGCAGAGUGAGAGGAGGUUCAUAUGGUUUCACAGUUCACCUGCACUGAUUUAAAGUUGUGUUGUCACUAAAACAGGCAGUCCUGCCUUACAAAGUUUCUUCCUGCCAGUGCCAGGGACUGCCCUGCCACCUGCCUGCAGAAAACCGAUCUUUUUUUUUUCCCCUCACCAGGAUUAGUUUGCAGCUAAAUAUAGCAGUUGGUUCCAGUAACUCGCAUCAUAUUUUUAUCAAAUUCCUGUAAGAAUGGAGAAAGCAGGAAUCCCUCUGCCAGAAGUGAGGGCGAGCAGGACUACUGUUCUGCUACCCUACUCUUAGUAUGAUCAAUCUAAAUCACCCUGAAAUCACUUUGUAAGUACUGUAGCAGUCUUUUCAUGUCUUUGGAAAGGUCCCUUACGAUAAUGAUACCAGCCUAAAGGUAAUGAUGGUAAACAAGAUUAAAUAUCUCUGGGUGAAGUUCGUAUCACAGAGUUGUCUUUUGAGGUGUGACCAAGAUCUCAACUGUGUGGAAUUUUUGCAUUCAUACAUUACUCCGUAUUUUUCAGAUACGCCUAGAUGUCCAGUGUUUGGGUUCUGUGACUUAAAAUUUAGCUAGUAAAAACAGCCUCAGGAUUGACUUUGAAAUGACUUUACAUCAUCAUCUGCAGAAUAGCUGUUGCUGUAAAUUGUGCAGUGGCAUUCUUUGUUGCUGAUCCUGCUAUACAUACGUACAUAAAGCUGUAUGGCGAACAGGUACACAGGUAUUGGAUCAGAGAGAUUAUCACGUUACAAAGGAGAAAUGAAAUAAAGAUCUUACCCGUGUCCUGGGCUUGCAGAAGGGCUCCAAGAGGAAGGAUCUCCAGCUGGAGAUCCUUCCUCCUUGGGAGUCAGCCCUUAAAUGGGGUCUAGGAGGGUCGCUUCCGGUCACUCAGGUGAAAUUGUGUUCACUGUGCCCCUGCAGCUGACUCAGCGCUCGCCUCAGGUGGUCAAUCAGAGGUUCAGGCUGUGAUUCAACAGUUCCCAUACAUACAGCUUACCUGUUUUCCUGUUUGGUUGGUUUGUUUCAUGUGAGAGCCAGAAAGAAAGAAGAUGAAUCUUCGUUUAUUCCCUUAGGAUACUUUACCAAGAUUGAAGUUGGGAAUAUUUUGUAUCAGAUCUCUCACAUUUUUUGGAAAUGUACUUGGAACAGUAUUGGGUAUCAUUUGGCAAUGCAAGUUUAGAAUGUUUUUUUUGACAUGGUGAGCGUUAAUUUGAACCUUGGAAUGGGCCUGUAUGUUUCCAACUUUUUCUAGUAAGUACUGCUUAAUGAAACUUUGCUUUAAGGUGUUGCUUCAGUUUGUAUUGCAGCACUGUCUUAUGUCUUACAACUUCAGAAAAGAUUUCCUGCUCUAAGUGCUUUUCCUGCCUUUUUAAUACUCAUUGGAUACAUCACUAAACUUGCACAAUAACUGAAAGGCCACUUAGUAGAUUACAUGAGAUAUUGUACUGAGGGACAUGGUUUAGUGUGGAAGUAUUGGUGGUAGGUGGACAGUUGGGCUGCAUGAUAUUGGAGAUCUCUUCCAACCUUGGUGUUUGUAUGGUUCUGUGUGUAUUUUAACUAGGAUCAGAAAUGCAGUUUUGAUCAGACUCAUCUGAUAGUCUGCAGUUACUAUUUUGCAGCUUUUGUGGAGCAUAAAAAGCCUUUUCUUUUUGGAUGAAACAAAAUUGGCAGUUGAACUUGGCUGAUGCAUUUGAAUGAAUGAUAUUUAGGCCAAACAUGGGACUACAGCUAAUUUUGGAGUAAGGCUCUGUGAAGCACAGGAAGUGUGAGUGUUGUCUUAAGCACAAACUGUCUUUUUUUCUUUUUUGCUUCCCGUUGCACCAAAAGAUGUGGAAAACUUAAGAGUUGAUGGAAGGCAGAGAGUACAUUUUAGCUACCGCUCUGUUGAUGAAGUAUGUGCAUUCUUAUUUUGAAACCCAGAGAUGACUCAAGAUUAACUGGCCAAAAAUAUCCAAAAAGCAGGGUAAUCAUGUCAUGAAUAACCUAGUUUUUUCUUUAUCAGCCUGUUCUGUGUACUGCAUUGAAUUGUUACUUGCCUUAUGUUUUUUUUUUUUUAAGUAGGGGAAGGAACUUCUGCUCCAAAGUUUCCCAGCUGCUUGUUUAUUGGUUUAAUUCUGUUUCUCAGUAAAGCUCUGCACUUGUACUGUGACAAAAGAGCAGUUUGGUGGGUCAUAGAAUACAUCUCCUGUAUUUUGUUUGUUAUAGAAUCAUACAACUGUUCAGGUUGGAAAAGACCUUAAAGAUCAUCGAGUCCAACCACAACCUAACCAUACUACCCUAACUCUAACAGCACUCCACUAAAUCAUGUCCCUGACCACUGCAUCCGAAUGGGUUUUUAAACACAUCCAGGGGUGGUAACUCAAGCACCUCCCUGGGGAGCCUAUUCCAGUGCUUAACAACCCUUUCUGUAAAGAAGGUUUUCUUGAUAGCCAACCUAAACUUCCUGGUGCAACUUGAGGCCAUUUCCCCUCAUCCUGUCACCAGUGAGAAGAGAUCAGUCCUGCUCUUGCUGUAAGUACCUUUCAGAUAUUGGAAGGGAGCAAUAAGGUCUCCCCUCAGCCUCCUUUUCCCCUGACCAAACAGUCCCAGUUCCUUCAGUUGCUGCUUGUAGGGCAUACUCUCCAAGCCCUUCACAAGCCCUGUUGCCCUUCUUUGGACCUGCUCCAGCACCUCCAUGUCCUUUCUGUACUGAGGUGCCCAAAACUGAACACAGUACUCAAGGUGAGGCCUCACCAGUGCCGAGUACUAAAUGAUUAAAAAACCCCUAUUUAGAGUUGGUGGGGAAAUAAGAUUUAGUAGGGAAAACAGAAAGACCAGAAAUCUGUAGCCUAUCCUUAAGUGUUAAGCUUUUUUGCAUGUUGCUGAAGAGUGAUGUUCUAAAAAUUGUCUCUUCAAAAUAGUUUUUUGGGAGACAUUCUACAUACAUUUCAAACUGAAGACAGCUUCUGCAAGCAACCGAAGUGAAGAUAUCUUUCAUGCUGUCUACUCUUAAAGGUGCUGGUGUAAAAAUAAGAGUCUGGAGGGGUUUUUUGAAGAGCAUUGAUUAUGAUGUACAAAGGUCACCUACAAACUCUCACUGUAAUAAUGAUUGCCUUUUCUUUUAGUAGUCCAACAGCUAAAUGUUACGUUGUUCCAAGUAAGGAAAUAUGACUCAAAGUCAACAGAUACACUCCUGCUGUAUUUACAGACCGGGAAGUCUGUUUUGCUGCUUUGAGUUAGAAACUAUAUAAGGAGGUGGCUUGGUGCUACAGCAAAUGUUUGGGAGACUAUGAAAAUAGUAAUUUUGUAAAGAUAUUUGUCAGAUCUUUUGGGCAGUUGACUUGAGAAUAUGAGGAAAUAUUUUCAAAGUGAACUGUUUUGCCAGUGGGUUGUGUCUCUUUCUGGUUACUGUCAGUAAAUCCUGAAAACUGAUUUUCCUUAGAGCAACUUGGUGAAAUCUUGUAUUUUGAAAGUAAAAGUUUUCAGAGUUAUUGACUCUUUUUAAAUGUUCUUUGCUGUUGUAUCAUUUCUUGUUUUGCUUUUGAGAUUGAUGCUUGAAUGGAUGCUGUGAUGACGUGCUGUCCUUGUGUGGACUGCUUCCUUUGGGGAUAGCAGGCUGUGUACAUGUACUUAAAAGAAUGGGCCUCUUGGCUUUACUGCAAAACAAAACUUUUUUAGUACUGCACACUUACAUGACGUCCAUGACUUGCAUGCUUGCUGGGCUGUGUUUAUUUUAUUUGAGUAAUUCAAAAGUUGUAUGUAUUUUGCUGGGAGCAAGGUUAAGAUUUUGAGUUUUGUACAGAUCGCUUCUCUGUCUGAUGUCCUUCAGGGUUUAAGUGUGAUGGAGGACUUGAGCUGGUGCUUCACACCAUAAAGAAAACAAGUCGUUGCAACACUGCACUUCCACCAAAGUCUGCUUCCUUCAGUAGCAAUCUCAGAUUCUGCUCAUUGAAAUUGUGCAUAUGAGAAUUUGUUGUAUUUGCAACUACUAAUUUGAAAGGGUUAAAAUAUGUUCACAGAGGACUGCCCUUAAAACUAUUGUAUUGUAUUCCUGCUAGAUCUCUUGGUGGCCUGGCCCAACUUGUGUAUUUCCUUACCAGCUUCUCUAGCAAUAGAGUAAAAUAGUGUAGUCUUAAUUGUGCUGAUCUUAACAGAGCAUCCAAAUGUGCCUUUGGUCAGCAGUAUUGAUGACUCAUUGGAGUUAUCAAAUUGCUUCCAGCAGUGUUACAGAGAACUACUUAAGGCAGCUGGUAUCACCAGAGAAUUAUAAUCUCAAAUGGGAGCAAAUAGUCAUUAAAUGAAGCAUUCAAAAUGUGCUGUCAUUUUGGAGUAUGCUACAUCAGACUGGGCCGAUAGUCAAUCAAAAAUGGGAUGGGGAUGUGAAGAGAAAAUAGCCUAACAACUGGGAUGUGUAGCUGCUCUGGUCUUGAUUUCUAUUUAUUUAUUUUAGGGAAGGUUUUUCCAUUCACUCUUAACCAUUUUUGAGCCAGCAGGCACGAAGGGCUUCAGUGUUUUAAGAAACUUCCUAAUGGAUUUUCUUGCUUUAAAAUUUAAAAAUUUACUUCUUAUGAGCAGAGCUCUUCUGAUAUUAUUCCAAAGAACAUCUGUUAAAAGUAUUCUGUAUCCUAUUUCUUGUCAAGUCCUAGGGUUGGUUUUGCCCUCCUGUGACUACCUUCUGGUCCCUUUAAAAGAAAUGAUCAGAUUAAUUUUUUCAUAUUCAGUAGUGUGAAUUUUCUUUGUAUGUUCCAGAUUGAGUGUAAGACAUAAAUGAUCCUCCAAAGAAGCUUUUCUCAAAAAAAAAAAGAGCUUAUUUUCUGAAGACAACUUUGUCACUUGAACUAGAGAUGCUUCUUACCUUGACUGAAAAGGCAGACUAUGGGCACAAACUGGAAGACUCCUCAAGGUAAAACAGGAACAUGUCAUGUGGAGAUACCUGUAUCCUAUUUAAAAUGAUUUGUUUUAAUACUUUGUAGUAAAGUGUCUCCAGGACUCUACCCAUAGAUUAGCCAACCUGGUUUUGGUGCAGCUUUUUCCAGGGAAUAAGACUAAAAUUCCUUUCCUGUAGGAGAAACCAAAUUAGAGUUGAAUAGAGGAAGCUAUAAAAUCAGACCUAUUUACUGCAGGCAGCAAUAUUUGAGUUAAAUGUUAAACUCACUGAAUUAGUGUAAUCAACAUUUGACACCUCAGAAGAGGUAAUACUACUGUGGGAAUGAGGAAGGGCAUCAGCUAUUUGUGUGAUAUCAGACCUAAUAUGUAGCAUGUAUUCAUAUUUCUCCUUAAUUUGGAGAUCCAGGUAUUCAUCUUUCUCUUGUGGUCAGUGCAUGUUGCUGUAUCUCCUCUGCUGAAAAAGCAAAAAUUGCAGGGAAAAAAAAAUUCCAAAAAUAUAUGGCUAUACAUUAUACAGCAACAAUCUGUUAGAAGCCUAUUCUCAGAGAAGGCAAAAAUAUAGCUAAGGAUGCUAAUACUCUUCCUUCCUUUUUCUGUUCUGAUUGCAGGUAAGUCUACUGGUGGGGGUUUUUAUGAGGUGAGGGUAAUACAUUAUGACAAAUUGUUAGUGACAGAUGGAUUUUUUUUACUUAGCUUACUUCUAAAGCAAAAUGAUCUGGAUUAGCCACUUCCUGCCCCCCGAGGUGGCUGCACAACUUCUCAGGUUACCUAAAUUAAAGACUUAAUUUGACUCAGUAAGUUACUCUAUCAGGUUGAGAGCCAAGAAGGUGUUUUAUAAAUACAUGAUUUCUGCAUGCUGAGCAGUGUUGUUCAGUCAGAGGGAAGAGGAGAAUGGGGGGGGGGAGUCUUUAAUUGCUGCCUUCAGUUACCUAAUGGAUCAUGACAAGAAACCAGCUCUUUCUUGGUGUUGUGCAGCAAAAGGGUGAGAAGCACUGGGCACAAGAUGCAGCAAAGGAAAUUCCAGAUAGGUGUAAGGCAGAAGAAAAAAGUUAGACCUGUAGCUACACAGACGUGACUAGAUUGCUUGUAGAAGCUAUGAAAUAUCUUUGCUUGGGGAUGCUCAGAUUUUGAGCAGGGAGUUUGCUGUAGGUGAUUUCCAGAGAGCCUUCCAGAGGUCAUUUCCACUGUAAGAUGUUUUUGGUUUCCAUUUGGUGAUUAGUUCACGACUUUUCUUCACCGAGAAGGCUUAUCGUUCUGAGCUGUCUUUCUGAUCUUCGAUGGUAAUCACUUUUCAUGUCUCAUUUGUUAAAAUUAUGCUCACUAGAGUCAGAAAUGGUGUCUGUGGAGACAGUGCUUUUGUAAAGCAUGUAUUAACUGAAAGGUUCUGACUGCAUGUCUGUUUUACUGUAUUUGUCCAAGUAAAGACUUCCAAAAGUGAAACCAGCUUUGAAGGUUCUCUUACAGUGCUGUUUUUGGUGCUGUUUUUUCAACUUCAGUUAAUUUUAUGUAUUUACAGUUCACAGGACUAAUACUCAGCAGAAUAUUUUGGAGCAGAGUGAGCUAAGAAGUUGAAGACAGGUUGUAUUCUCUUUAAGAGAAAAAUUCUAGGGUGUGAACUUUGAUGCAGAUGUGCAACUUAAUGGUGUAUUCAAUUUCUGCCUACUGUUCCUUUGUUUUAAACUGCUUAUUUAAAAGCAUAAGAACACCCCUUCCUCUUUCUGUGUUUGACCCCCAGCAUUCUGCAUGCUCAGUAUACUCCAGCUAAUACUGAGAUUAUUUGGAUUGCAGGUGAAUGUCUGCUUUUUCAUGGGCUUUGGAGAAGGACAGUGAGCAGCCUUUGUAGUUGCUACUCCUGUAUAUUUUUGGGAAAUAAUGCAAGAAAUGAAUAGGGGCCAGUUUUGUCUUGCAUGCUGUGUCUGUUCUUGAGUUUGUUAGAUUGUAGUCAUUCUCUCUGAUGCAGUUCUAGAUUGAUGGUCAAUUAUUUUUACCUCGUAAACCUCCAUUCUUUGAAACGAGUGAAUCAUGGGCCAGAGUGUGUAGGACAGCUUUUUUCUUAUGCUUAGUCACAGGAGACUAAGCUUACAGUUUUAUUCUAACUUAGCUCCCCAAGAUAUGCAGAGCAACUGGGUGGAUGCUGUUCUUAAUUAUGAUCUGAACUUUAUUUUGGCUCGCACCAUCACUGUUUCAUUGUUUAUCUUCCUUUGGUAAGAUGAGAACAGUAUCUUAUGACAAAAACAUUUAGUUGUUUGGUUUUCUGUAAUGGUUAUGUAUGACAUUUGCAUCCUCACUGAAAUUUGGGCUUAGAUAUGUUAAUAGUGUACUGUUUUACACAUUCCCAUGCAUUCUUAAAAUAUGAGAUGCUUUUUUUGACAGCUCAAUUUAAAACUUUUUACUUCCUACACAGUGAAACUGUCAGUUUUAGUGUUUGCACAUAUGUAUAUAUUUAGUGUAUCCUUCUAGUAUUUGAAGAGAGCUUCUAAGCAGGAAGGGGAGUGACUUUUUACAUGGUCUGAUAGUGAUAGCUCAAGGGAGAAUGGCUUUAAACUAAAGGAGCGGAGAUUUAGGUUAGAUGUUGUGGAAAAAAAAUCCUUUCUCAGAGGAUGGUGAGGCACAGGAGCAGGAUGCCCACAGACAUUGUGGCUGCCCCAUCCUGGUGGUGUUCAAGGCUGAGUUGGAUGGGGCCCUGGGCAGCUUGAUCCAGUGAGUGGCAACCGUACGCGUGGCACAGAGUUGGAGCUUGGUUAUCUUUAAGGUUCCUUCCAAUGUAAGCCAUUCUGUGAUUAGUGAUUGUAAGAAGCAGAGCGUGUGGUUUCCUGAAAAUAUACAGGAAAUGCAGUUCUAAAACUACUUACAUAUGCUUCCUACUUCAUAAUUCAUUGUGCACUGUAAACUUCUAAUGCUAUAGCGAACUCUGUGGCUGUUAAAUGAUCAGACUGCCCUAUGUUAGGGCAGAUUGUAAUCUAUCUGAAUCACUGCGUGACAUUUAUGCUGUUGAAAUUGAAUUGGACUAUGUGAGAGCUGAAAGCUAUGGCACUUUAAAUUCAGCACUGAUUCAGACACUGUGUUUUACUCGGGGCAAAUAACUUAAUGUCUAAUACUCAGUUAUGUUCUGGUCAGUAGACGUGACUUAAAAUAAUUGGAGCAAUAGCAGGGAUCUGCUUUAACUUUCUUUUUCAGUUAGCUAUUUGUGCAUGAGAACUGAGACUUCUAAUUCACUGAGUAAUUGUAAUCAUGCUGAUCAUGGAAUGAGGAUAUCUUAAGAUAUGGGAAGAAAAUAAGCUCUGUGGGAAAUACAUAAGCUCUCUUUAGCUUCCUUGUUCCCCUGCAUCUUCCUUUCCCUUAUUGCUUUCCUUCUUCCCAUCUUGUUUAACUUUCUGAUCACAGUGCAGUCCAAGCUCAGUGUGACUGAUAAAAUAAUAUGUGGCACUUGGGAAAACUGCAGUACCUCUCUGUGACCUGUGUGGCUUGGGUUUGGAAACUGAAAGAGCACAAACUUCAGGUAUCACAGCAGUGCCCUUUUUGUUGGUGUUAAACCUCUUGGUGAAUCCCUUGUACUGACAGCUUAAGAGCCAGAUUGGUAAAUGUUGUGUGUCAGGAACAGUUUAUGUAGUUUAAAGAUUCACAUGGUUCUUCACAUUUUCUGUAUGAGGAAUUUGAAGGGGAAUUCACACUGCAAGAAAUGCUACAUUCAUUGUUGUUCUUCAGCAAAUACAGUUAACAGCAUUAAUGGAAGCCAGCAAUCAAUGUCCUUCUGUUUGCAGUGACGUUAGAAUAAGUCCUGGUUCUGUGCUUUUAAGCUUUAGCAGGGUUAGAGGACAGAACCUUUGACAAAAGCCGGAGUGUGGUGUCUUUUUGUAUUUGUUUGUAAGUGUUCAGGAGAAUAGCAGAAGAUGCUUAAUCUUCAGUUUUCAUAGAAGAACUUUUAUGGAAGUUCUAUCCUUCAAAAGCGUAGUUGCACGGAACUACACUGCAGAUAUAUUUUCUUAAUGUUUUUGGAUGGAGCUGAAAAUGUAACUCCUUUGUACAAACAUGAUCACACUGUUAGAUGUUGUGCUGGGGUUGGUAGCUGACAGUUUGAUAAAACAGCAAGAGACUUCACUGUCAUUUGUAUUGUUUUUUUUGUGAUGAUCUGAGUGUUAAAAUGAAGCUGGAGGGAGUGUCCUCUCUUUAGGCAGGUGACAUUGUGGUAACCUUCAUUACUUCCUUAAGAAGCAAGUGUUGAAGGAGAGCAGCACAAGAAAUGGUUCACUGCAGCAUAAUGCUUAGCAGCCUAAUUAGUCGAAUACCAUGUGCCUACCUCUGCAUGAAAUAACCCAUUUCUUCACAAGGUAAAAUAGGAAUUUUCAGUUUUGGAACAGCCUGAAGAGGCCUUUGUUGCAAAUGUCCGUUGGCUUUUUAACUAUUUAUUCUCAAAUAAUGAAGGUCAGCAUGGUAUCCAUAGAGACUGCAUGCAGCUUCCUCGUUAAUCUUGGCAAACUCCUGUAAUAACUACAUUCACUUAAUACUAACAAGUGUUCACAUUUCAUUAAUGGGAGAACAGUAUGGGAUUGACAUUCUGUAACUGAGAAAUCUUGAAUGUGUAGUUUUUCUUCUUUAAACUCUGUUAGAAUUUCCCUUUACGAGUUGCCUUGGAGGCCUGAACAGCCUCAGAACAAGCAACUUUUAAAUUGCAGGAGUCUGCGUAUUUCCUGGAAGCAGAAAACUUCUUACUGGCUAAGCCUUUUCUUUCUGAAAGGAUCAAGAAUGAUAAACAAGGAUAAAUGGGUCUGCUUUCAGCUCUGUUAGUAAAAGGAAAGUUUUCUGCUAUGAACUAGAAUAUAAAGGCAUUGAAGUAUUAUGUAAAUAUGAUCAAGCUAGAAUGAUAAGAUUUAAAAAAAUAACCUCAUGCAGACUCUCCACCUCUGCUUUUUUUCUUCCUUUUUCUUUAACCAAGAAUGGGAGAAUUUUUGUAUCACCAGAACACUGCUGAAGUCCUUUGUAUUUGACUGUCAGAUUACUUCUGUGCAGAAAAUUCUAAUCAGAGUGUUAAUAUGAAAUAACUGAGUGCUGUAUGCUUAAUAAUGACUUUGAUUUAAAUUAAAUUUUGUUCUUGAAUAGUAUUUUGUCAUUUAAAUACUUUUAAUAUUGAAAGGGUUCUUUUAACUGAGAAGAAAGAAAUAGACUGCAUCAGAACAGAAUGCAGUCUUGUGGGACUUCUGGUACUGAGUUGCUGAAGGGGGGGAAGUAAAAUGGUUCCAUCCAGAGGCUGUUAUUGUUUUAUUCCCACCCUGACACUUUUAAUGCUUACCCCAGGAUAUAUAUAUAUAGAGAGAGAGAGUAACAGAGCCUUAAACUGAUGCUGAGAAAUAUACAUAUUUUUUCAGAAUUCUGCCAGGUUUAUUUCUAAGAUUUCCUUCAUUAUGAGCUUGUUUUCCUAAAUUAUACAUUCUUAUUUAGAAACAUAAGUAACUGUGAAAGAGUAGAUAGUGUGGAUGCUUAGAAUGGAACUCCAUUUAUUUUUUUUGAGAGUUCUGGUAAUGAAGGUAUAGGAAAGUAAAAUGUAUGUAUGAAUGUAUUUGAACCUGAAGAGGUUUAAAAAUGUGCAUUUUAAAACUUGAGUACGUAUAUUCCCAUGUCUUGCAUUUAGAAACAUUAAAUUAUGUUAAAUCUACAAUUGUGGUGUUUUUGUAUCAAUGCUUGUUUUAAGUGAAACUGAAAAUGAGAUUUUCUUCAGAAUUAGUGGAAUGGUAAUUGAUUGGAAUGUCACAGAAAUGUCAUAAAUCUUUUUCUUUUCCCCCUCCCCUAAAGGUGACCGACUACUUUGUACUGCUGGACACCUGCAGUGAUGUAUAGUAG
ensembl:lncRNA